rnacentral:rRNA from 1 species
AUACGGAGGGAGUUCGCGUUGUUCGGAAUUACUGGGCGUAAAGCGCACGUAGGCGGAUUGGAAAGUUGGGGGGGAAAUCCCAGGGCUCAACCCUGGAACUGCCUCCAAAACUAACAGUCUAGAGUUCGAGAGAGGUGAGUGGAAUUCCAAGUGUAGAGGUGAAAUUCGUAGAUAUUUGGAGGAACACCAGUGGCGAAGGCGGCUCACUGGCUCGAUACUGACGCUGAGGUGCGAAAGCGUGGGGAGCAAACAGGAUUAGAUACCCUAGUAGUCC